CCUACGGGUGGCAGCAGUGAGGAAUAUUGGUCAAUGGGCGGGAGUCUGAACCAGCCAAGCCGCGUGAAGGAAGAAGGCGCUAGGCGUCGUAAACUUCUUUUGUCCGGGGACAAAGGGAGCCACGCGUGGCGUUGUGAGUGUACCCGACGAAUAAGCAUCGGCUAACUCCGUGCCAGCAGCCGCGGUAAUACGGAGGAUGCGAGCGUUAUCCGGUUUUAUUGGGUUUAAAGGGUGCGUAGGCGGUCCGGAAAGUCAGCGGGAAAAGCCCGGGGCUCAACCCCGGCGAGCCGUUGAAACUGUCGGACUAGAGACGGCGAGAGGUAGGCGGAAUGCGCGGUGUAGCGGUGAAAUGCAUAGAUAUCGCGCAGAACUCCGAUUGCGAAGGCAGCUUACCGGGGCCGUACUGACGCUGAGGCACGAAAGCGUGGGGAUCGAACAGGAUUAGAUACCCGUGUAGUC
rnacentral:rRNA from 1 species